ensembl:processed_transcript
CAGUUGUUUGUCCGUAUUUUUCUAAACUGCCGUGCGCGGGAAGUGGCGUGACGUCCAAUCACCCACUCACUCCCUCUGCACCUGACUGGAUUAACGGUAAACGUCAGUUUGUCUGUAAGAGUGUAAAAGGUUCUUUCAUUUUGGUUAUAAGUACAUGUUACAGGUGUGUUGGUGUAAAAAUUGAUGCUGACUGAACUCAGGCAGUUGUGCUGGACCCUCUGUACCUUAUACAGGAGAUGACAGUAAACUUUCAAGUUUAAGAGGUGUGUUGGUGUAAAAAGUGAUGCUGACUGAACUCAGGCAGUUGUGCUGGACCCUCUGUACCUUAUACAGGAGAUGACGGUAAACUUUGAAGUUUAAGAGGUUCUGUAAUUUUGGUUAUAAGUACAAGGUGUGUUGGUGUAAAAAUUUAUGCUGACUGAACUCAGGCACUUGUGCUGGACCAUCUGUACCUAAUACAGGGGAUGACAGUAAACUUCCAAGUUUAAGAGCCACCUGAUGAUGAGAGACACAAUUUCAAUGUGGGCAUCUUGAUGAAGAAGAGUCCACAGUCACAAUAACAAGAUCAUUGAGCUGUCCCCUAAUUGUGGUGAGCUACAUGUUUAGUCUCUUAUGUGCUAAACAUUAUGUAGCCUAAGGAAGCAGCCCUGACUCUGGAGUUUAUAUGAAGGAGCAUGCUGAGUAACUAUCCAGAAUGUAGGUCCAUAGCAGAAAAAAGUGCACCAAGCAGAAACAUACCAUCUAAACUCCUUCGAUUCCUGUCAGACCAGAAAGACUUUCAGAAUCCUUGGAAGAUUUAAAGCCAUUGAAGUAUCAGUAUUGGAGCGGAAGAAGACCCAGUUGUAUCGUCUGUUUCCUGCCAUCUUGCAGUUAACCUGGUUUCUUAAUGUAAAGUACUUGUAAUUUGCCCACUUGUCCUCAAUUAUCUUAAAGCUAACAUUUAAAACUAAUUUGCUUUGAGAUUAUUUGCCAAGACUUCUCACUGUGUGAUUCACAUAUCAAUAUGUAUUUAUUGUGUGUAUAACUUGCUAUUUGGAAUUCAAAUGAUUUGUAUUCAUUAAAGAAUCUGUUUUAAUUGCAAA